UACGGAGGAUGCAAGCGUUAUCCGGAAUGAUUGGGCGUAAAGCGUCCGCAGGUGGCAAUGUAAGUCUGCUGUUAAAGAGUCUAGCUCAACUAGAUAAAAGCAGUGGAAACUACAUAGCUAGAGUACGUUCGGGGCAGAGGGAAUUCCUGGUGUAGCGGUGAAAUGCGUAGAGAUCAGGAAGAACACCAGUGGCGAAGGCGCUUUGCUAGGCCGGAACUGACACUGAGGGACGAAAGCUAGGGGAGCGAAUGGG
rnacentral:rRNA from 1 species